GUAGGGUCCAAGCGUUAAUCGGGAAUUACUGGGGCGUAAAGCGUGCGCAGGCGGUUGUGCAAGACCGAUGUGAAAUCCCCGGGCUUAACCUGGGAAUUGCAUUGGUGACUGCACGGCUAGAGUGUGUCAGAGGGGGGGUAGAAUUCCACGUGUAGCAGUGAAAUGCGUAGAGAUGUGGAGGAAUACCGAUGGCGAAGGCAGCCCCCUGGGAUAACACUGACGCUCAUGCACGAAAGCGUGGGGAGCAAACAGGAUUAGAUACCCUGGUAGUCCACGCCCUAAACGAUGUCAACUAAUUGUUGGGGAUUCAUUUCCUUAGUAACGUAGCUAACGCGCGAAGUUGACCGCCUGGGGAGUACGGUCGCAAGAUUA
rnacentral:rRNA from 1 species